rnacentral:rRNA from 1 species
AUUGAACGCUGGCGGCAGGCCUCACACAUGCACGUCGAACGAGUGGCGGACGGGUGAGUAAUGUCUGGGAAACUGCCUGAUGGAGGGGGAUAACUACUGGAAACGGUAGCUAAUACCGCAUACCAUCAGAUGUGCCCAGAUGGGAUUAGCUUGUUGGUGGGGUAACGGCUCACAAAGGCGAAGAUCUCUAGCUGGUCUGAGAGGAUGACCAGCCACACUGGAAUGGAGACACGGACCAGCCUCCUACGUGAGGCAGCAGGGGGGAAGAUUGCACAAUGGGAGCAAGCCUGAUGCAGCCAUGCCGAGUGUAUGAAGAAGGCCUUCGGGUUGUAAAGUACUUGCAGCGGGGAGGCGUUACCCGCAGAAGAAGCACCGGCUAACUCCGUGCCAGCAGCCGCGGUAAUAC